rnacentral:rRNA from 1 species
CCCCUAGAUGUUCUGGGCCGCACGCGCGCUACACUGAACAGUUCAACAAGUCUUAACCUUGGCCGAUAGGUCUGGGUAAUCUUUGAACGCUGUUCGUGAUUGGGAUAGACCUUUGCAAUUAUGGGUCUUCAACGAGGAAUUCCUAGUAAACGCAAGUCAUCAGCUUGCAUUGAUUACGUCCCUGCCCUUUGUACACACCGCCCGUCGCACCUACCGAUUGAGUGAUCCGGUGAAUAAUUCGGACUGCAGCAGUGUUCAGUUCCUGAACGUUGCAGCGGAAAGUUUAGUGAACCUUAUCACUUAGAGGAAGGAGAAGUCGUANCA